rnacentral:rRNA from 1 species
CGCAUCUGUGCAUGCAGCAUAUCAAUAAGCGGAGGAAAAGAAACUAACAAGGAUUCCCCUAGUAACGGCGAGUGAAGCGGGAAGAGCUCAAAUUUGAAAUCUUAAAGGGUUUCCCUUUACGAAUUGUAGUUUAAAGAAGUGUUUUCUGUUGAGGUUUUGGUAAAAGUUCUUUGGAAUAGGACAUCAUAGAGGGUGAGAAUCCCGUAUUUGACCUUUACUUUCAACUUUGUGAUACACUUUCAAAGAGUCGGAUUGUUUGGGAAUGCAGUCCAAAAUGGGUGGUAAAUUUCAUCUAAAGCUAAAUAUUGGCGAGAGACCGAUAGCGAACAAGUACCGUGAGGGAAAGAUGAAAAGAACUUUGAAAAGAGAGUUAAACAGUACGUGAAAUUGUCAAAAGGGAAGCGUUUGACACCAGUGCUGUUUUUCUGAAAAUCAAUUAAAGAACUGUUUAUGCUAAGUUGUUUAGACUCUAUCAGCUAACUGUUUAGUUUUGAGCUUUUCUUUAAUGCACUUUUCAGUUAACAAGUCAACAUCAAUUUCUUUUGCUGUAAAAAAGCUUGAGGAAGGUGGCUUGAGAUUCGUCUUAAGUGUUUAUAGCCUCUUGCCUAUGCAGUCGGAGAGAUUGAGGUCUGCAGCGUAGAUCCUUCGGGGCUAAAUGCAUUUGUGCUAAGUUAUAGCAUUUUAUAGACAACUUGUUGACUAUGAUUUGUCUUGUAGCUUACUCGCUUAUGUUAUUUUACCUACGCUUAGGAUGUUGACGCAUGAGAUAUACGC